AGUGAACGCUGGCGGUAGGCCUAACACAUGCGAGUCGAACGGCAGCACAGUAAGAGCUUGCUCUUACGGGUGGCGAGUGGCGGACGGGUGAGGAAUACAUCGGAAUCUACUUUUUCGUGGGGGAUAACGUAGGGAAACUUACGCUAAUACCGCAUACGACCUACGGGUGAAAGCAGGGGAUCUUCGGACCUUGCGCGAUUGAAUGAGCCGAUGUCGGAUUAGCUAGUUGGCGGGGUAAAGGCCCACCAAGGCGACGAUCCGUAGCUGGUCUGAGAGGAUGGUCAGCCACACUGGAACUGAGACACGGUCCAGACUCCUACGGGAGGCAGCAGUGGGGAAUAUUGGACAAUGGGCGCAAUCCUGAUCCAGCCAUACCGCGUGGGUGAAGAAGGCCUUCGGGUUGUAAAGCCCUUUUGUUGGGAAAGAAAAGCAGCAGGUUAAUACCCCGCUGUUCUGACGGUACCCAAAGAAUAAGCACCGGCUAACUUCGUG
rnacentral:rRNA from 1 species